GGCAGUUGUGACUCUGGGAUGAGAGCUGAAACAAAUGAAAAUUUCAUCACUCAUGGCAAGAGUGAAGAUCCUUUAACUACCAUUGCAGAAGAUGCAUCAAGUUUGCAUGUCAGUCUACCCCAUGCUCCUGUUAUCCUUGAUGCUCCAGAACAAAAUGGAGAUGAUUCACCAUCUAGAGCAUCCAUUGACAUCAAGCUGACAGAUGGUUUGGUUGAUCAAAAUUUGA
rnacentral:misc_RNA from 1 species